CCUACGGGAGGCAGCAGUGGGGAAUAUUGCGCAAUGGGCGAAAGCCUGACGCAGCGACGCCGCGUGAGGGAUGAAGGUCCUCGGAUCGUUAACCUCCGUUAGUAGGGAAGCACGUUCACUGUGCUAUUCAGCAGUGAAUUGACGCUACCUGCAAAGUAAGCACAGGCUAAGUCCGGGCCAGCAGCCGCGGUAAUACGGUGGGUGCGAGCGUUAAUCCGAAUUGAUGGGCGUAAAGCGGUCGUCGGCGGUAUGUUAAGUCAAGGGGGAAAACCCCGGGGUCAAAGUGGGUACUGCCGUUGAAACUGGCGAACUGGAGUGUGUGAGAGGAUAGCGGAAUGCGAGGUGUAGGGGUGAAAUCCAUAGAUAUCACGAAGAACAUCGAUGGCGAAGGCAGCAAACUGGCGCAUAACUGACGCUGAGGAACGAAAGCGUGGGUAGCGAACAGGAUUAGAUACCCCAGUAGUC
rnacentral:rRNA from 1 species